rnacentral:misc_RNA from 1 species
AUUCCUCCCACUAAUUCUAGCUCAUCUGCUACUCCCAUGUCUGCAAUUGCGCCAAAGAGAAAAAAGCCGCGACCUGUCAAGUACGAAGAUGAGAAUCCAUCAGUUUAUCCUGUGCGGAAUAGUCCCAUUGCGUCAACAAUCAAGGUCGAUAUCGAUCAGCCUCCCAAAUUCGAAAAUUGUUCUCCCAAUUUGGCAAAGAAUUCAGGAUCCGCUGCUGAAAAUGGCAUCGUUCCACAAGAUACGACAACCAGUAAAGCUGUACUGGUUUCGACAGAAGCCCAGCCGCAGCUGCAGCCGGAGCAAGUGAAGUCUGAGAGCAUUUCGUUGUUGGAUUCGAGACCACCGGUGCAAGAAUCAGAUUGUAAAGAUUUAGUUGUGAACAAAGAGGAGCCUCGAUCGCCGA